CCUACGGGUGGCAGCAGUGAGGAAUAUUGGUCAAUGGUCGGGAGACUGAACCAGCCAAGCCGCGUGAGGGAGGAAGGUACAGAGUAUCGUAAACCUCUUUUGUCAGGGAACAAAGACUGGGACGCGUCCCCGGAUGAGUGUACCUGAAGAAAAAGCAUCGGCUAACUCCGUGCCAGCAGCCGCGGUAAUACGGAGGAUGCGAGCGUUAUCCGGAUUUAUUGGGUUUAAAGGGUGCGUAGGUGGAUUGUUAAGUCAGGUGUGAAAGGUUGGGGCUCAACCGUAAAAUGGCAGUGGAACCUGGCAGUUUGGAGUACAGUAGAGGUGGGCGGAAGUCGUGGUGGAGCGUCGAAAUGAUUAGAUAGCAGGAAGAA
rnacentral:rRNA from 1 species